UUAAAAAUUGUUGAUAAUUAAAAUAAAAUGAUGAGCAAAUGGACCAUAGAGAAUUCGGCCAGCCUAGGGAAAGAUUGGAUUUGAUGAAAAAAUUUUGGAAUUAAUUGAGUAUGUGAACUCAAUUGAGUGUAUAAAGAUAUAUGGUAUACUUUAAUUCAUGAAUUGUGCUAAGUAGAGAAUUAGGGUUCUUGACCUUUAGGGUUUUGGGGAGGAAAUUUGAGAAAUUGGUAAAUUGAUGUACUUUGACCUAAAUGAGACUCAAAAUGGUCAAUUGAGACAAAUUAGGAUGUGUUUGAAUGGUUAGAAGUAAAACCAAAUUCGGAUAGAUAGGAGUCCAAUUCUAGACAGCCUGACUUAGGUCCCUUUCAGGGACCAAAAC
rnacentral:misc_RNA from 1 species